GAUGAACGCUGGCGGCGUGCCUAAUACAUGCAAGUCGAGCGAACAGAUGAGGAGCUUGCUCCUCUGACGUUAGCGGCGGACGGGUGAGUAACACGUGGAUAACCUACCUAUAAGACUGGGAUAACUUCGGGAAACCGGAGCUACUACCGGAUAAUAUAUUGAACCGCAUGGUUCAAUAGUGAAAGACGGUUUUGCUGUCACUUAUAGAUGGAUCCGCGCCGCAUUAGCUAGUUGGUAAGGUAACGGCUUACCAAGGCGACGAUGCGUAGCCGAUCUGAGAGGGUGAUCGGCCACACUGGAACUGAGACACGGUCCAGACUCCUACGGGAGGCAGCAGUAGGGAAUCUUCCGCAAUGGGCGAAAGCCUGACGCAGCAACGCCGCGUGAGUGAUGAAGGUCUUCGGAUCGUAAAACUCUGUUAUUAGGGAAGAACAAAUGUGUAAGUAACCAUGCACGUCUUGACGGUACCUAAUCAGAAAGCCCCGGCUAACUACGUG
rnacentral:rRNA from 1 species